GACGAACGCUGGCGGCGUGCUUAACACAUGCAAGUCGAACGAUGAAGGAGGAGCUUGCCCCUCUGGAUUAGUGGCGAACGGGUGAGUAACACGUGAGCAAUCUGCCCUUGACUCUGGGAUAAGCGCUGGAAACGGCGUCUAAUACCGGAUACGACCCUCGGAGGCAUCUCCUGUGGGUGGAAAGAGCUUCGGUCAAGGAUGAGCUCGCGGCCUAUCAGCUUGUUGGUGAGGUAAUGGCUCACCAAGGCGACGACGGGUAGCCGGCCUGAGAGGGUGACCAGCCACACUGGGACUGAGACACGGCCCAGACUCCUACGGGAGGCAGCAGUGGGGAAUAUUGCACAAUGGGCGCAAGCCUGAUGCAGCAACGCCGCGUGAGGGACGACGGCCUUCGGGUUGUAAACCUCUUUGAGCAGGGAAGAAGCGAAAGUGACGGUACCUGCAGAAAAAGCACCGGCUAACUACGUGCCAGCCGCCGCGGUAAUAC
rnacentral:rRNA from 1 species